GUGGGGAAUAUUGGACAAUGGGCGAAAGCCUGAUCCAGCCAUGCCGCGUGUGUGAAGAAGGCCUUUUGGUUGUAAAGCACUUUAAGCGAGGAGGAGGCUACCGAGAUUAAUACUCUUGGAUAGUGGACGUUACUCGCAGAAUAAGCACCGGCUAACUCUGUGCCAGCAGCCGCGGUAAUACAGAGGGUGCGAGCGUUAAUCGGAUUUACUGGGCGUAAAGCGUGAGUAGGCGGCUUUUUAAGUCGGAUGUGAAAUCCCUGAGCUUAACUUAGGAAUUGCAUUCGAUACUGGGAAGCUAGAGUAUGGGAGAGGAUGGUAGAAUUCCAGGUGUAGCGGUGAAAUGCGUAGAGAUCUGGAGGAAUACCGAUGGCGAAGGCAGCCAUCUGGCCUAAUACUGACGCUGAGGUACGAAAGCAUGGGGAGCAAACAGGAUUAGAUACCCGGGUAGUCC
rnacentral:rRNA from 1 species